AUGCAUUCUUUCGCGCACAGGCUUGAUCGGCUGACAGAUGGUGAUUUCACCAAGGCAGAAGACUUCAUCAGGCUGAUGCGAGUUCUUUACACCUGCACACUCUGUGUUUCCACCGAAAAAAGCCCAACAGCCGGACAGAUCCUGCCAAUCAUCCAAAAGCUUGAGAAACACUUCGCUGCUGAAAAUGGAGACACAGUAUUUGUAGCUGACUUGAAGAAGAGGGUCUGGGGAAACCUGUCUACCCGAUACAAGAAUGAGGACAACAGGUUCUUCUUGGAAGAAGCCACUGCCUUAGAUCCCCGCUUCAAGAAUAAGAUGGACAACACUGCAGUCUGGGAACGGAUCAAGGGGAAGUUACUGGCAAACUCUGAGCAGUCAGUGGCAGUCCAUGACCAUGCAGAAGGGGCUGGUAUGACACAGGGUGAGGGAAAGCAGGAAGGUGUGGAGACUGAAAGCGAGGAGGAAGAGGAGAAUGUAAGUAGAUUACUGAAAUUAUAUUUGGUAUUUGGUAUGUUCUUAGUCAUGAAAUAUGUUAUUUAUUUAUGUAUUUUUUUACUAAUAACUGUUCUGUGUUUGUUUAGCAGCCUCUUCCUUCCAAACAAUCAAAGAAGUCUCUACUGGAGGAGCUUUUUGCUGAGGAGGAUGCCGUGAAGAGGACCUCACAGGAGAGGUUGAUGAUGUCCAUGGAAGAGCGUGCUGAAAAGGAGAUCCAGACGUACCGGGCAAUGCCACCAACCAUCACAUCGUCUGACCCUGCUGCCUGGUUCUGGGCCCAGAGACAAACUUAUCCUUUACUGUCAUGUCUGGCCUUCUCAUAUUUAUGUGUCCAGGCCUCCUCAACGCCUAGUGAACGUGUGUUCUCUACUGCAGGAAACACAAUCUGUGCAGAACGGGCACGCUUACUGCCUGAAAAGGCAGACAUGAUAAUCUUCCUCAACAACAACUGUUGAUUGAUUUGUCAUAUGAUUGUGUUUGUAUAAUUGUGUUUCAUAUGCAUCUUCCUGGUUUGCAGCUCUUUGUUUUUUAGACUGCUUCUACUUGUAGUGUGAUUUCAGCAAGUGUCAGUUUUACCGUUACAUUUGGAAACCCUUGUUGAAUACCCGAGUUACAGUACAGCAACUACAUUAAACUGUAUCAACUAAAUCAACUAAGUGAUAAAAAUGGCCUGUGUAGGCUUUUUCAAAUGAAAAGAUUCUCCUGUGAAAUCUCUGACCUGUUGACCUGCACAGCUCAAAGAAUCGGAAUCAAGAAUCGUUUAGAACAGGAAUCUAAAUUGAGAAUCGGAAUCGGAAUCGUUAAAUUCCAACGAUGCCCAACCCUAUGCAGGACGUCCUCUGCUGACGACCGUCAGGAUCAAUGUGAUGAUUAAAAGUGUUUGACGUCGUCUUCAUUUAAACAUUUUGUCUCUCAGUGUUUAAUGCUUCACUUUUCAUUCUGUCCUUCAUGACGUCUCUGCUGAGGACAUUUAAUCUACUGGCUCCUCCACACAUACAGCUGCUGCUGCAUCGCUCUCUACACACCCACCAGACUCCAUUCACAAAAACACUGAUUUAACACUGUUCACUGAAACUGCACAGAACCAGAGUGCAACACGUUGUGUCUCUGACAGACUGUUGGACCGGACCGGACAUCAUCAUGUUGUGUCUCUGACAGACUGUUGGACCGGACCGGACAUCGUCAUGUUGUGUCUCUGACAGACUGGUGGACCGGACCGGACAUCGUCAUGUUGUGUCUCUGACAG
ensembl:lncRNA